rnacentral:lncRNA from 1 species
CAAAAGGCCACAAUAGUUGAAUUCAGCAAUAAAGAUGACUCUGAAAUUAACAGUGAGCAAGAUAAAGAAAAUUCCUUAAUCAAAAGUGAACCAAGAAGAAUUAAAAUAUUUGAUGGAGGGUACAAGUCAAAUGAGGACUAUGUAUAUGUCCGAGGCAGGGGCAGAGGAAAGUACAUUUGUGAAGAAUGUGGAAUCCGUUGUAAGAAACCCAGUAUGUUAAAGAAGCACAU